CCUGGCUCAGGACGAACGCUGGCGGCGUGCUUAACACAUGCAAGUCGAACGGAAAGGCCUGCAGCUUGCUGCGGGUACUCGAGUGGCGAACGGGUGAGUAACACGUGGGUGAUCUGCCUUGCACUUCGGGAUAAGCUUGGGAAACUGGGUCUAAUACCGGAUAGGACAGCUGUUUAGUGUCAGUUGUGGAAAGUUUUUUCGGUGCAAGAUGAGCUCGCGGCCUAUCAGCUUGUUGGUGGGGUAAUGGCCUACCAAGGCGUCGACGGGUAGCCGGCCUGAGAGGGUGUACGGCCACAUUGGGACUGAGAUACGGCCCAGACUCCUACGGGAGGCAGCAGUGGGGAAUAUUGCACAAUGGGCGGAAGCCUGAUGCAGCGACGCCGCGUGGGGGAUGAAGGCCUUCGGGUUGUA
rnacentral:rRNA from 1 species